CGAAUUGCCGGUGGCUUGAGGCUUCUGGGCACCUGGUUAGGGUUUGGAUGAGUGGGGGUGGGAGGAGAGUCAACUCGAAUCCAGUGAACCCUUGGGUUCAUGGGGAGCAUGUACCCUCCGAUAGGAGGCAUGCACGUCUCCUUCAUCAAAGAAGCCACUCCCGAUAACAUUUUCCUUCUGUUAAGCAGGUGAAUCCGGUUCAACUGACGGUCAGAAAAGACAAAACAAACCAAAGACUUUCCUUUAGUUUGCUCUGAUUCAUUCGAAUUCCCCUUUUUGCCAUUUAUUUUCAUUCGGGCCCAAGCCAAGAGGCCGCCGGCGAUUUCACUGCACAACCAAGCUCCAACAGCGUGGAGUCAAUCGGUGGCAAGAAUCAACCAGUGGUAUAAGCCAGGCGCUCCCAUGGUUUCAGGCAUUCCCACAUGAAAAGGCUUGUCGCUUGUAUUUCUCUUCUUUUCUGCUAAUCUAAAAUUUUUUGUUAUUGACAAAACAAAUACAAUGGGACAAACCUCAAGCUAUUCUCUCUAGUUUUCAGCUGGCUAGAAGGUUGAGCUUUAAAGCUUUAUAGGUUUUUUUUUGGACUGUCCUAUGCUGGUAGUGCUUGAAGAAAGAUCAUAUAUAUCAUCUUUCUUUAA